ensembl:snRNA U1 U1 spliceosomal RNA
AGACAUACUGGCAGGGGAGAGACCAUGAUCACAAAGGUGUUUUUUCCAGGGCAAGGCGUAUCCAUGGCAGUCCGGAUGUGCUGACCUCUGCAAUUUCCCCACAUGUAGGAAAUUCGACUGGAUAAUUUGUGGUAGUGGGGGAUUGUGUUCAUGUGCUCCCCUG